rnacentral:rRNA from 1 species
CCUACGGGUGGCUGCAGUGGGGAAUAUUGGACAAUGGGCGAAAGCCUGAUCCAGCCAUGCCGCGUGUGUGAAGAAGGCCUUCGGGUUGUAAAGCACUUUCAGUGGGGAAGAAAGCCUUGGGGCUAAUACCCUCGAGGAAGGACAUCACCCACAGAAGAAGCACCGGCUAACUCCGUGCCAGCAGCCGCGGUAAUACGGAGGGUGCGAGCGUUAAUCGGAAUUACUGGGCGUAAAGCGCGCGUAGGCGGUCUGAUAAGCCGGUUGUGAAAGCCCCGGGCUCAACCUGGGAACGGCAUCCGGAACUGUCAGGCUAGAGUGCAGGAGAGGAAGGUAGAAUUCCCGGUGUAGCGGUGAAAUGCGUAGAGAUUGGGAGGAAUACCAGUGGCGAAGGCGGCCUUCUGGACUGACACUGACGCUGAGGUGCGAAAGCGUGGGUAGCAAACAGGAUUAGAUACCCCGGUAGUC